GUGGGGAAUUUUGGACAAUGGGCGCAAGCCUGAUCCAGCAAUGCCGCGUGCAGGAAGAAGGCCUUCGGGUUGUAAACUGCUUUUGUACGGAACGAAACGGUCCGGGUUAAUACCCUGGGCUAAUGACGGUACCGUAAGAAUAAGCACCGGCUAACUACGUGCCAGCAGCCGCGGUAAUACGUAGGGUGCAAGCGUUAAUCGGAAUUACUGGGCGUAAAGCGUGCGCAGGCGGUUUUGUAAGACAGGCGUGAAAUCCCCGGGCUCAACCUGGGAAUUGCGCUUGGGACUGCAGUGCUGGAGUACGGCAGAGGGGGAUGGAAUUCCGCGUGUAGCAGUGAAAUGCGUAGAUAUGCGGAGGAACACCGAUGGCGAAGGCAGUCCCCUGGGCCUGUACUGACGCUCAUGCACGAAAGCGUGGGGAGCAAACAGGAUUAGAAACCCGUGUAGUCC
rnacentral:rRNA from 1 species